UACAGAGGAUGCAAGCGUUAUCCGGAAUGAUUGGGCGUAAAGCGUCUGUAGGUGGCUUUUUAAGUCCGCCGUCAAAUCCCAGGGCUCAACCUCGAGCUGUCGGUGGAAACUGUCUGGCUAGAGUCCGGAAGAGGAGAGUGGAAUUCCUGGUGUAGCGGUGAAAUGCGCAGAUAUCAGGAAGAACACCUAUGGCGAAGGCAGCUCUCUGGGACGGUACUGACGCUGAGACACGAAAGCGUGGGUAGCAAACAGG
rnacentral:rRNA from 1 species